UGAUUCAAACUUUCUGACAGAUUUGUGAUUCAAUCUUUCUGACAGAUUUGUGAUUCAAAGAAAGAUUGAAUCACAAAUCUGUCAGAAAGUUGACAG
rnacentral:pre_miRNA from 1 species